UAGUACUCCAUGCAUAUACCGCAAGUUUGAUGUGAUGAGGAAUCUUCUUUUUCAUAGUGUUAAAAUUGGGAGUUUGGAGGUAACUAAACAUGACCUCAGUUCUGGAUCAACAAAUGAACGCCUGUUACGUGGUAAUGGACCGGUGUCAGUGCACGUCAUACAUCUACAAGGCUAGAAGGGUGUCUGCGACCGACCUCGCCCUUAAGGUGGUCCCCACGCGUCAUAAGUUCCCAGCUGUUAGUACAGAGGCCGAUACCGGCCUUUAGAGGUGGGCCCGCUAUCCAGAAAAAUAUCCCGUGAAAAUUUCUCGAUCCCAUCUCCUACCGCUCUGUUCUCCUCCGUCCUUCACGCCUCCGACCCCUACGCCGCCCGCCGCAAUCCAUCGUCGCGUCCUCCAUGCCGAGCCCGCCGCCACCGGCCUCCUCCUGGUUCUUCUCCGGCGCCGCGUCCCCGCGCGGCCGCGCCCGCGCGCCGUCGCCGGAUGUCGGCCAGGCGGCCACGCUUCGACGCCGAGCCUGUUGGCUCCCUUCCCCGGCUCCGUUUCGCCCGCGCAGGGCCGCUCCCCUGCCGGCGUCUGCCCGCACUGGUGGAAUCUCAUGCAGUGGAGCAUCGCGCACCGGUGGAGGCGGCGUGCAGCACCGGCGGCUCGGGCGGCAAGGCGCCAGCAGAUGGGGAUCGCCGGACUCGCUUCGCGCGCGAAUCUUCGGUCGUUCUCGUCGACCUCAAAAGCUUUAGGCUGUCCGCACCGGGGACCGCUACACCAUCGUCCAGUAUCGCGGUAGCGG